AAACGCGGGCCGCUCGACACAGAAAAGCGCUCCCCAGAGGAAAUAUGUGCAUACCAUAAGGAGAUAUUUCAGGGAUGAAACCAGAGUCUAAAUAUAAAAUCCGUUUAUGCUUCACAGACAUCUCAUAUAACCUAGAGGUCGCUCACCCUUGACACUUUCUAGCAGCACAAGGUCCACAAACGGCUCGAGUAUGGUGCCGAAAGUAAGAACUUAGAAGCAUCUCUCCUGUCAAACUGGGACCCCUGAUGCCACCACUUCUUUAAAUGAAACCUCUGCCGAGGGCCUGCCCCAAUGAUCACUUUUCAUCCAUGACAUCAUCUCCCAGAACUCAUGGCUGCUUGUUUGUUUUGAUCUGGACCCUUGGUCCCAAUAAAAGCAUUGGCUCACAUAUGUCCCUUCGUGUUCCUUUGGUGUGUGGCCUCUGUGUUCUGUGCUUAUGUGUCUCGGAAUUGUUGGAAGGAUGUUCUCCAUCCAAACUUGAUGUCGUCAACCAUGUGGCUGGGCCUCUCAGAUUCACUUAAUAGACA
rnacentral:lncRNA from 1 species